GAUAAAGAAUAUUGAAGCUCCGUUAG
rnacentral:piRNA from 1 species